UGCCAGCAGCCGCGGUAAUACGAAGGGACCUAGCGUAGUUCGGAAUUACUGGGCUUAAAGAGUUCGUAGGUGGUUGAAAAAGUUGGUGGUGAAAUCCCAGAGCUUAACUCUGGAACUGCCAUCAAAACUUUUCAGCUAGAGUUUGAUAGAGGAAAGCAGAAUUUCUAGUGUAGAGGUGAAAUUCGUAGAUAUUAGAAAGAAUACCAAUUGCGAAGGCAGCUUUCUGGAUCAAUACUGACGCUGAGGAGCGAAAGCUAGGGGAGCAAACAGGAUUAGAUA
rnacentral:rRNA from 1 species